ensembl:lincRNA 4933409D19Rik RIKEN cDNA 4933409D19 gene
AGGCACGCUCUCAAGCUCUGAGAUCCAGCUUUGGACUCUGCCUCCUGGGAUAACUGGAAUGCUCACAGCCCGCUAAAGCCAGCUUUAGGAACGGGGCUGCCCUGUGGUAGUUUUUUCUGUCAAUUCCAGAAGAGGGCAAGAUGUUACCAUCUCCUUUGUCCUCUUCCGGAAGGCUGAUUCCAGAACAGUUAACUAUUGGAUGCAGGUCCUUGGGCAAGAUGGGCUCUGGUGUUCCCUCUGUGGUGCAGUAGUUCUCUUGGAUGGAGGAAAUAGAAAUCCAUGCAGACUUCACAGAUAUUACGCAGCGAAGAACAAUGCAGCAAAGAAGCCAGAAGCACGUGGUGAAGAACCCCGCACUUACUGAGAUCUCAGGUGUGGCUGUCUGUCUGCACAUGUGUCUGUGCUGUGUGUGCCCGAUGUCCUUGGUGUCAGGUCCCCUGAAACUACAGUUACACAUGGUUGUGAUGGCCCAUGUCAGUACGGGAAUCAAACCCAGGUCCUCUUAACCGCGGAGCCAUCUCUCAGCCCCAACUGGUUGAUUUACCAAGGUGUUAUUUCAGCCUACUCUUGUACUCUGGACUACUGUGAGUUUAGCUGUUGAAGAGAACUCUUAUGAGUAGUGAUUCCCACUAUUACCUAAAGCCAGUGUGACCAUUUUUUUUUCUCUAUCUUUAACACGAGUGGGGUUUUAAACAAAAGAUCCCAAAGCACUUUGAUCAGAAUAUAUUCAUGAAAGAAUACCAUUCCUGCCGUUAGUCCAUGAAUUCAGCCUUAAUUAUCAUACAAUCAUAUUGCAGGACCUUGGCAGAGAAAUAUAACCUUGAACUCCCUGCCACCCGGUUCUUAUCGAAGUCUUUAUGAAACCUGAUAUUGACGGAUGAUUUCCAGAAAGAUUCACAUCCUGCUUGUUUCCAGAUAGUCUCAGUUUUAUCUCAGACCAGGCCAGACUGUUAGAGGACUGUUUGCUUGGCUGCAGCAUUUUUAACUAUUUUAGGAUGAUUUUUGUAAUGUCUUUAUGAUGAUAUAUGCACUUCCAUUGCAUUUUAAAAGUUGUUAAGACAACUUUUAAAACUAGUUAAAAGCUAGCCUCUCUACCCUCAUCAUCACACCCCCAGCCCGCUGGGAGCCCAGUCCUAAGCAACCAUUAACCUUCCAGUCUCUGUGGUUGUCCUUGUCCUGCCUAGUUCAUGAAUAGAAGAAAUCUCAUAAUAUCUGGCCUUCUGUGACCAUCAUCUUUAACUACUGUGAUGAUUAAUCUUGACUAUCACUUCGCUAGGAUUUUCAGUUAUGUAGGAGACAAAUCUCCGUGGAUGUCCACAAAGUGUUUCUAGACAAGGUUGAACUGAGGUGAAACAUCCCACGGGCCUGUGAGCAGUACCCUUCCGUGGGCAGAUGCAAUGUGACCUGGACCUCAGGUUCCUGUAGCUAGGCACCCCUUGCUAAAGGGGUGAUCAUAGCUCAAGCCCUGAUCCAAAACAAAGUCUCCCUUCCUUUAGCUGCCUUCUCAGGCAUUCUGUCCAGAAGUGGAAAAGCAACUGCUACUAUUAAAUAUCUUUGAAAUCC